rnacentral:tRNA from 1 species
UCCCUGGUAGCUCAGUUGGUAAAGAAUCUGCUUGCAAUGCAGGAGACCCUGGUUCGAUUCCUGGGUUGGGAA